ensembl:lncRNA
GUUUGUUCAGAAAUUCGAGGGACAGGAGGAUGUACAAGUUUAACAAAAUCUUUAAGACAGAAACUUCCAGAGAAGUGAGCAGGUGUAGGUGUGAAACACCAGCACCCCAGUGGCAGUGGUUUCCUGUGGGCAGGCUAGGGAUGUGCCAGGCCUGCCAUUCUGUUUUGCAGAAUUUCCACCCAAGCCACACAGAGGCUUUACCUUGCCCACCAAAGGUGUGAGCAGAUGAAGACAGCAAGGUCCCCAGCAAGACGUUUCUCUGACACACUUCAUGGAAUGGAUCUCUGCUUUGUUUUCAGAAAUGCAAAUUUUUAAAAAUUAAUUUUAUUGGAACAUUUAAGGAUAAUGGGAUUUAUUAAGGCCAUUCAUCCUGAAGUCACAUGGAAAGUGCCACGUUUGAAUGAUGAAACGCAAGCCUGAAUAUCCAAAAAGCACUAGAACUCCCUUCCCAGGAAAACUGCCUUUCAAACCUUUAAAAUGAUGCCCUUUAAGGAGAACACAAACUAUCCCUGUGAUGUAGCCAUAAAGCAGAAGUAGAAAACACAACAGCUCAAUUUAAGAAAAUGUGAAAAUUACAUGGCCCUGGUGAAAUCCCAGACACAGAGUCAAGUGAAAACAGCUGUGGAUACAAAGGCCAUGUGGACAGUGGGAGGCUAGGUGUCUCGAGGGGGCGAGGAAGGAAUUCUGGCUGUGGAGCCCCUGUGCACUUGCGGAGGGCCAGUCACGUCGCAUGCUGCUGGCACUGAGCAGGUGUUGGUCACUUAGAUGACACCGGUGGCUGAAGCCCCCAACACUGUGCUGACCGAUGGGAGCAGGACUCAGACAGGAGCACAGGCAGACCUGCAGGAAGACCCUAUGGCACAGGAAGCAGAAGAGCCAGUCACCACGUGCUGCAAGUGUGGUGGCUCCUGUGAGCCUCCGGGUUGGUGAGGAUGAGACAGAGCAGGCACAGACUGCGCACAUCUCCGCCUCCUCGGCACCUGUGAAAGCCGGGCUGGUGAAUGCGUCCUCUCCAGCUCUCUCUCUCUGACAUUGCACUGGCAUGAGACAGAAAUUCUAUGCAGGAAUCAGGGUCCUCGUUCAGAUAAACGCACCCCACCCUGUCCAGAGUCACCGGCGGGUGGACAUAGGGCGGAGCUUCCACAAACAGGAAGCAACACGGCCAACCACGGGUGUCUGCAAGCAUUGACCCCUGGCUGUGUGCUGGCCCUGUUCUGGAGUGAGAGCCCUGCUAAGGCAGGCCCUCUAGCUGCCCGCGGUCGACCUGGCUGGAUGGGGGGACUUAAGGGACCUGUUCUAGCUGUGCCAGCCCCACGGGCUGCUCUCCCCGGGGACAGCUUCGCAGCCUGUCAGUUGCACCAGCGGCCGCCUCUGCAGCCCAAGGCACCCGACUGAACGCCCUCAAGUCCCAGUCAGAAGAAAAACUAUGCCUGGGAGAAAACGCAAGAUGAGUACGACUCCUCUUGCUUUAAUUAAGUUUGAUCGGAGGUUGUGCUGCAUCUAGGAAAGCCAGAGCCAAUUUUCGCAGUGUGGUUUGCAAAGCAAAGGCGUGUCUUCGAAGACUACAGGAGAACACAUGUCCUAAACGUGGCCCGGGGUUACCGAGCUGUACCUUCAGGCAGUUCACAUGGAGAGCAAAUGCUCUGCGGCUCCUAGGGGCUCAGGCUCCAAACCAGAGCAAAUCGUCUGCUUUUCAAUUCCUGGCAGCUCAGAUUCUCCUGCUAGCUUGGAAGAUGCCCGGCGUGGGUCCAGCUCCCCAGGGCAGACGUCCGGGACGUGUAAUCUGGAUCCAGGAUCAGAUCUUCGCCAGCUCUCCAGACCACUGCCCUGCUGCCUGUCCUGCAGACCCAAGGUGACCAGUUAGCCUGGAAAGGUGGCAUCAGAGGAGGCCAAACUCAGGACUGAGCACCCGGCAAGGGAGUCAAGAUGGUGGCUGUGGAGGGGCCACCUCAGUUCACUGCUGUGGGAGAGGACAGGAGCAUGCAGAGUCUUCUGCAGAGCAGCGUCAGAGUAGCAUCAAUUUCUUUAAAUUAAAUACAUUAAUUUAAAUUAAUAUGCACAGUUAUUUACUUUCUGCUGAUGGAUGGAAGCAAAGGUCAUGAUUUGUUAAAGAGCUGAUGAAAGUUAAGAGUUUUCCACAAAAAAGUGCAUACAGGGAUACACCAAUAGUUUUGCAUAAAAUAUGCAAACAUAUAUGUAAAAUAAAUUUUUUCUUCUGUAGGGCAGCCAUAAUACUAUAUAUAAAAGACCUAACAAUAAAACAUUGAAAAACACAAGAGAAUUUUGAGAAAUAUGAAAUGAGCUAAAGGAAUACCUAAGUAAUUAAGAAGACAUCCACUUCUCUGGAUGUGAAGAAUCCGUACUGGUGGCCGUGGCGUCGGCAUUGAGCGGGGAGUCUGGUGCAAGAGAUUGUAUGAGAUGGUGUAUGAGAUUUGACAAGGUGUGGGGUGGCAUUCCUGCUGGUGUUCCACAUCAAAUGUCAUGUUUGCUGGGGUAUUCUGUUUUAGGCACAUACAGAUGGGAAUGUGAAGAGACAUAUUCACUACAUACAUUACAUACAUACAUUGUAUUAGUCAGCUUUCUCAUUGAUGCACACAGUACCAAAACCCACAGCUUAAAGGAGGAGAAGUGCAACUUGGCUCAUUUUUUGAAGGGAUUCAAUCCAAGGUCAGCUGGCUCCAAGGCAAGAACAUCAUGGCGGAAGGGUCUGGUGGAGCAAAGAUGCUUCGUUCAUGGUGGCCAGGAAGCUGAGCAGGGGAAUAGGCCAGAGAGGAAGGGUCCUAGGGCCAGAUCUAGAUCCCAAGAGCACACCCCCAUGACCUACUCAGACACAGCUAAAGUGUGUUCCACUUUGGGAUCAGAUCCCAAAGCCAAUCAAGGUGACACCCCACCCUAACCUCUAUAGCUAUGUAUCAACAUACACAUGUAUAUACACAUAAAAGUCAGAUAACAUGGAGAUGGAGGCAAUAAACAGAGAAAGUUGAAAAUCUGCAGCCUAACUCACUUUAUUUGUCAGCUUUCCAGUCACUGGGAUACAAUACUGGACACCAACAAAUUAUAAGGAGGACAGGUUUAAUUUGGCUCAGGGUUUGGGGGAUUCAGUCCACGGUCAGCUGGCUCCAAGGCAGAAAUAUGGUGGAAGGGAUAGCCAAAGAAAGCUGCUGCUCACCGCAUGGCGGCCAGGAAACAGAGAGAGGGGAGGAGCCAGGGACAGCAAUCCACCCUUCCUGGCCACACUCCAGUGACCACCUCCAAUCAGACCCCACCCCCAACAGCACAUUCAUCCAUGAACUUAUCCACGACUAACCUACUGACGAGUACAGUGCUCCUAAGACCCUAUCACCUUCCAAAAGCCCACCUCUGAAUACAUGAGACUUCGGG